CGAUAGCUCAGCGGUAGAGCAAUCGGCUGUUAACCGAUUGGUCGUAGGUUCGAAUCCUACUCG
rnacentral:tRNA from 3 species